rnacentral:rRNA from 1 species
AUUGAACGCUGGCGGCAUGCCUUACACAUGCAAGUCGAACGGCAGCACGGGAGCAAUCCUGGUGGCGAGUGGCGAACGGGUGAGUAAUAUAUCGGAACGUGCCCAGUCGUGGGGGAUAACGUAGCGAAAGCUACGCUAAUACCGCAUACGAUCUAUGGAUGAAAGCGGGGGAUCGCAAGACCUCGCGCGAUUGGAGCGGCCGAUAUCAGAUUAGGUAGUUGGUGAGGUAAAGGCUCACCAAGCCGACGAUCUGUAGCUGGUCUGAGAGGACGACCAGCCACACUGGGACUGAGACACGGCCCAGACUCUACGGGAGGCAGCAGUGGGGAAUUUUGGGACAAUGGGCGCAAGCCUGAUCCAGCAAUGCCGCGUGCAGGAUGAAGGCCUUCGGGUUGUUAAAGG